ensembl:lncRNA
GUUUCCCAAAGGCGGGAAGGUAGCCCACGGGAAGGUAGCCCACGGGAAGGUAGCUCACGGGAAGGUAGCCCACGGGAAGGUAGCCCACGGGAAGGUAGCCCACGGGAAGGUAGCUCACAAAAAGGUAGACCACGGGAAGGUAGCCCACGGGAAGGUAGCUCACAAAAAGGUAGACCACGGGAAGGUAGCCCACGGGAAGGUAGCUCACAAAAAGGUAGACCACGGGAAGGUAGCUUAAGCCCAUAGAAAUGCAUUGGCUUAUUUUGGACAGAUUUUUGUGAGAGUGAACCCUCUCGCUUCGCCUCUUCCUUUCUGCUGAUAUACACUAAUAUUGAGUUGCACCCCCUUUUGCCCUCAGAACAGCCUCAAUUCGUCAGGGCAUGGACUCUACAAGGUGUCGAAAG